UACGAAGGGGGCGAGCGUUGUUCGGAUUUACUGGGCGUAAAGCGUGCGCAGGCGGUUUUGUAAGUCUGUCGUGAAAUCCCCGGGCUCAACCUGGGAAUUGCGAUGGAGACUGCAAGGCUAGAAUCUGGCAGAGGGGGGUAGAAUUCCACGUGUAGCAGUGAAAUGCGUAGAGAUGUGGAGGAACACCGAUGGCGAAGGCAGCCCCCUGGGUCAAGAUUGACGCUCAUGCACGAAAGCGUGGGGAGCAAACAGG
rnacentral:rRNA from 1 species